AUUGAACGCUGGCGGAAGGCCUAACACAUGCAAGUCGAGCGGAGCGGCGGACGGGUGAGUAAUGCCUAGGAAUCUGCCUGGUAGUGGGGGAUAACGUCAGGGAACGGGCGCUAAUACCGCAUACUAUCAGAUGAGCCUAGGUCGGAUUAGCUAGUUGGUGGGGUAAAGGCCUACCAAGGCGACGAUCCGUAACUGGUCUGAGUGGAUGAUCAGUCAGACUGGGAAGGAGACACGGUCCAGACGCCGACGGGAGGCAGCAUUGGGGAAUCUGGGGCAAUUGGCGAAAGCCUGAUCCAGCCAGGCCGCGUGUGUGAAGCAGGUCUUCUGAUUGUAAGACACUUUAAGUUGGGAGGCGUUACCAACAGAAUAAGCACCGGCUAACUUCGUGCCAGCCGCCGCGGUAAUAC
rnacentral:rRNA from 1 species